rnacentral:rRNA from 1 species
UACGGAGGGUGCGAGCAUUAAUCGGAAUUACUGGGCGUAAAGCGCACGCAGGCGGUUUGUUAAGCUAGAUGUGAAAGCCCCGGGCUCAACCUGGGAUGGUCAUUUAGAACUGGCAGACUAGAGUCUUGGAGAGGGGAGUGGAAUUCCAGGUGUAGCGGUGAAAUGCGUAGAUAUCUGGAGGAACAUCAGUGGCGAAGGCGACUCCCUGGCCAAAGACUGACGCUCAUGUGCGAAAGUGUGGGUAGCGAACAGC